GGAACGGUGGUGGAUGUGGCUGAGGCGUAUUUGUGACUGCAGAUCGCCGUGUCAGCCGGGCUGUGGCACUGAGUGGUGCCUCUGGUGUUUCCUUCAACACCUCAGGGUGCAGCAAUUAACUCCACCGCCAACCUGGGCAGCCUAUUCCAAUGUCUAAGAAAAAGUUCUUCUUAAAGUGCAGGAAUUCUUCGUGGUGUCCAACCCGAGCCUCUCCUGGCACAGCUUGAGUCUUGUCCCGUGCCUUGUUCCUUGGAGCAGAGCGCGGCCCCACCUGGACAGUUUCGGAUUAGGGGUGGAUGUGGUGCUGUGCAGAGCUCUGUGCUGUGCAUAGAGAAGGAAAGUGCGAGUUGCCGGUGUGUUUGGCCUGUUCGCAGGCGGCAAGGGGAAGGUGAAGGCCUGGCUUUUCCCUGGGCACUCUCAGCGCUCCUGAAACCGACCGUACGGUGGCGAUGUGGGCUUGCAAAAAGAGGAAACGCUCCUGGCCUUGCUCUAAAGCACUACAAGUGUAGAGCCAAGCUGAAAAUGUCACUGCACUCUACUCCACUGGGUCGGAACAAAAAGAUUUUGCUGACUUUCCCUUUCCAAGUACAUACUCUGAUUUGCACCACACUCAAAUGGCAACACGAACUCCUCUGUGCUAAUAAAUAUUUUCACUCUGGCAGAGUCCGGCUACAAACUUGAAACCAUCUGGCAAAAAUACAACUCACAAAAGUGCCAGCUGAGAAAGCUCUUGCUGCUUACAACUUCCAUUGCACCCAAAGAACUGCCAGAACACACCUUACUAUCUACACUUUCUUCUCAGCUCUAUGAACCAUCACAAGCCUUCAGUCUCACAGAGCCAGGAUCCAAAUGGAACUGCUCACACGCUAAAGGUACCAGGAUAGAAAGCUCAUCAACAGUUUGACUUUUGCAUUCCCACCAGAACAGUUCAACAGCUCUUUCACUGACAGAGCUGCCUAUUAGGAAAGGCCUUUAAAUUUCACCAAGAUUACCCAAUCUGUAGAUCCAAAAUUGGUUUGUUUGCCAAAGAGUGGACCUAUAAGCCUAUCUCAAAAGAAACAGCAACCCCUCCUCUGGAAUAAACAGCAUCCAGGAAAUGAGCCCCUACAAGGGUACCAGAACACUGUUAACUGGGCAUUACCUGCCCAGGGCACUCUUAGCAGCUGCACACCAAUCCUGAGCACAGGACCUCGCCCAAAAUAAGGCCAAAGUUUCUGAAGGCCCCCUCUGAGAAGUGGGAAUCACUUCCCAAAUUGAGCAGUGUGAGAAGCAGUUCUUUGGGUGCAGCUGAAGUUGUAAGGCAGCACCAGCAUUCUCAGCUGACACUUUUCUGAGCUUUACUUUUGCCAGAUGGUUUCAAGAUUGUAGCCGAUCUCUGCGAGAGUGAAAAAAUGUAUUAGCAUAAAGGAGUUUGCGUUGCUGUUUGAGUGUGGGGCAAAUAAGAGUUUGUACUUGGAAGAGCAGUGAAAUCCUUUUGUCCUGACUGUUGAUUUGAGCGUAGUGGCGAUUUCAACCUGGAUCUGCACCUCAGGUACUUCACAUAGGCGAGGCGCGUUUUCUUCUUUGGCAAGUCCACACCGCCAUCGUGUGGUUCAUUUUGUCAGUGCCCAGCAAAGAGCCGAGCGCUUUUCUGUCGUGGCAUCAUUCGUGUGAGAGCAAGCAGUGUAGGGGCUCUGUUGUGGAUGCUCAGUCCAGACUGAAAUCACGUGUUCCUGCAUAGAAGGAAGGGACGUGUGAUUUUGCAUGUGAAGGAAGACGAAUUGUCUCACUGUUUGCUGUGCAGUUUAUAAGGCUGCAAAAGGAAAGUGAAUUCCAGCACUGCCUCUCCCUUCUAGAAUUUCUCCUGUGGGACCAGGUGCUGAAUGUUCUUAGCUUUGUAACUGGACUCUGAGACUGAUGGUGCAUGAGGGUCUCAAGAGCUGAGCAUGCAUUCCUGAGUGUACUGCACUUUAAAAGCUGCAAGGACAAAGUGAAGGCCAGCGCUUACUUUUUGUUCUAGGAGCUUUGGAUUGGGAGCAAUAGCUGGGCAUAGCUGGACAAGUUCUGAAGCUGGGCUGCAAGAGUGUAGGACUGUGAUGGUCCAUGAGCAGAAGUCCACGGUGUGUUUUGCUUUUUACAGGAUGUGAGUUAAAUGUGGAGACAACAAUAGCUUCUUGAGCAGGCACAUUUUGUGACCAAUAGUUCCACUUGAUACAGUUCAGGUUCAGGAACUCUGCAUGAUCAAAAGAAAGAAUGGGGUGGUCCAUUUAGUUUGAAAGGAAAACUUCUAGCCCCAGUUCACAGGGUGUGUUGAUAGCCUUCAAAAGUAAUGUGAAACUGAGCAACUGUUUUCUCUUCUUUUGAUUCCAGAUUAAAAUGAUCCAGCUGGACUCGGCGACAGAGCCAAAGUGUCAAGACCAGCAAGGAGAUAUCAUGACAUUUAUAUACGAAGAAAACCUCGGCUGCACAGGAGAUGGUCGUUCACGGUAGCAUGUACUCAAAGAUGAUGGCCGGGACGUGAUACCCAUCUGAGAUAACCGGAGCCAUCAACACCUGCCGCCUGAAUACAGGAUUCUGGGAAUCGAGGAAAUGCAUUGAUCAAUUCCCGGACGAAGGCUUUGUGCAGUUCAGGCUGAAGAAAAGAACCAACUUGAAUAUGAAGAACUCAAAAAGGAGACAAAGGGACUCUGCCACGGGCAAAAUAAAGAGUAUAAGAACUGCAGCCUCGGAACAGCCAGUGUGGACACAGGGGGAUUUGGUGCACUAGAGGCCAGAUCCACGUCCACCCAGCCCAUCUCCCAGGGGUGUUGUGCUGUCAGUUUGAUUGUUGGCUGUAUCACGGUCACUAAUAAUUUUUCUUUGUUUUUAUUUUUAUUUCGAUUGGGUCAAUUUUUAUUUUUACCUAUAACAGCUAGUAAAAAAAAAAAUCACUUUCUUUAGGCUGAUAUUUAAGUCUUCAACUCUAUCUGUCUGUAAUUAUAUAGAGAGACGGAAUAAGCUCAAAUUCUGAUGGCUUCACUAGGGUCUGGAACCUUUCCUACAGAGUGCUUUUCUUGAUGGAAGACAUUUUAUGCCCUUUUUAAACUCCUAUACUGUUGCUGCAUAGCUGAGUGCGCUAAUAGACUUUGCCUUGAUUUUAAAAGGAACUUCAAUGCGGUAUUUACAACAAUGAAAAAAGAAGCAAUAGUAUAAACUUGGCCAACAUGCACCCAAAACCCCUGUGAAUUUUGUCUGCCUGUUAGAAGCAACAUCGUUUCUAACUUAGCUUUUACAGAGACAUUUCCAACAUUGCUCUUCAGAAUACAAGGAAAAAUUGUUGCUUGCUCUUGAGAUUGUAAUAUUGUUUGUAAUAAAUGUAUCGAAUUCAUGCUCAAAUAACUGUAAUAAAUAUAUCCGUACUUAGGAAAAAAAAAUAUAUAUAUCAAAUCACCCUUUAGAAUAUGUUACAAAAAGCACACAGGUUUUUAGAACUCUCACACAAGGGUUGGGAAACUGCUUACCUCACUAGAUUGUAGCACACACAGGUGUUCACUGAAUAAGAGUCCAAAUUAGCAAGUGAAGGGAGUAGCUCCUACUGAAUUCUGAGGGAAUCUCUGAGGGGCCUAAGCCAUCAUUGGCCUAUAAGGACCGAGGACAGCUCUGGACUAGCAUGUGAAUGCUCAGUUCCCCGUAACUUGUAUUUUACAUGUAUCAGUUCCUGGACACUGUAUUGUUUGUCCAAGCAGGAGACAGGAUUUCUCCAACACCGGACAGAGGACAGAGGACUACAUGAAUAUUUGAAUCCUUCCCCGGACACUGUUCUGUCUACUCGAAGAUAGAAUUCUCCUAACAUCGGACAGAGGAUGAAGACCGUAUGAAUAUUCAGAGAAAGAGAAAGGAACAAAAGAAACCUAGUUCCGGGCAAGAAAAACAGUAUAUAACUGAGGCUCACCCGAGCAAACUUUGUAAACUUCACAGGUCUGAUGCGAGAGGGGGUCAGACCUGUGUUCACCCAGGGUCGAGUCCUGGGCUUGACACUGUCCUUUUGAUUGUGGCUGGCAGAGAUUGUAUUUCGAUUUACAAAAUAAAAUCUAUUCCCUUUUUAUUUUAA